rnacentral:rRNA from 1 species
AAGACCUUGCGCUUUUGGAGCGGCCGAUGCCUGAUUAGCUAGUUGGUAGGGUAAAGGCCUACCAAGGCGUCGAUCAGUAGUUGGUCUGAGAGGACGACCAGCCACACUGGGACUGAGACACGGCCCAGACUCCUACGGGAGGCAGCAGUGGGGAAUUUUGGACAAUGGGCGCAAGCCUGAUCCAGCAAUGCCGCGUGAGUGAAGAAGGCCUUCGGGUUGUAAAGCUCUUUCAGUCGAGAAGAAAAGAUUACGACUAAUAAUCGUAAUUCAUGACGGUACCGACAGAAGAAGCACCGGCUAACUACGUGCCAGCAGCCGCGGUAAUACGUAGGGUGCGAGCGUUAAUCGGAAUUACUGGGCGUAAAGGGUGCGCAGGCGGCUUUGUAAGUCAGAUGUGAAAUCCCCGGGCUUAACCUGGGAACU